GCCCCGCCCCAGAUUCUUCCGGGAGCCACCAGGGAGGAAUUUUCCCCAAGGGGGGAAACCCUGAGGGACCAAUCCCGGGUGAAGGAGGAAGCCCUAUGGGUGGUAACUUUUUUUUUCCAGAGAAGAAUUUUGACGGUAUCUGAGGAAUAAGCAUCGGCUAACUCUGUGCCAGCAGCCGCGGUAAGACAGAGGAUGCAAGCGUUAUCCGGAAUGAUUGGGCGUAAAGCGUCUGUAGGUGGCUUAAAAAGUCUYCUGUCAAAGAUCAGGGCUUAACCCUGGGCCGGCAGGAGAAACUCUUAGGCUMGAGUUUGGUAGGGGCAGAGGGAAUUCCCGGUGGAGCGGUGAAAUGCGUAGAGAUCGGGAGGAACACCAAAGGCGAAAGCACUCUGCUGGGCCACAACUGACACUGAGAGACGAAAGCGAGGGGAGCAAAAGGGAUUAGAUACCCCUGUAGUCCUCGCCGUAAACGAUGGAUACUAGAUGUUGGAUAGGUUAAAGCAUUCAGUAUCGUAGCU
rnacentral:rRNA from 1 species